rnacentral:snoRNA from 1 species
GCAUAUUAAUGAUGGUCUACUGUUUUUCUUAGUGCUAGAAAAAUACUGCUGGUUCUGUGGCUGCCUUGACCUGUGGGGGUGAUGCAGUUACCCAAGGACACAGGG